rnacentral:rRNA from 1 species
UACGUAGGGUGCAAGCGUUAAUCGGAAUUACUGGGCGUAAAGCGUGCGCAGGCGGCUUUGCAAGACAGAUGUGAAAUCCCCGGGCUCAACCUGGGGAACUGCAUUUGUGACUGCAAGGCUAGAGUACGGUAGAGGGGAUGGAAUUCCGCGUGUAGCAGUGAAAUGCGUAGAUAUGCGGAGGAACACCGAUGGCGAAGGCAAUCCCCUGGACCUGUACUGACGCUCAUGCACGAAAGGCGUGGGAGCAAACAGG